GUGACUAUGGUAUCAAAAGCUUUCUGAAAAUCAAAAAAUAAGAUAACAGUGAAGUUAUCCAAUAGAUCACAAUACUCAACCAAGUCUAGUAACACCAGCCUCAGAUUUUUAGAUAUAUGACUCCCUUUCAUAAAUCCAUUACGCCAUUUCACCACGAUUAUUAACGAGAGAAUCAGAACAUCAGCCCGCGUCCCAGAAAUAGAAUAGUUCUAACAGAAUGCAAUUUAAAGGGUAUUUCAAAACAUGCACAUUCUGUGCUGAGAAUGUUUGUGUCCCUUAGCAACCAAACCAUCCUUGGAUCCUUGAUAGGUGCAAUCUCACUGCAGAAACAGAGAGCUGCAGUCUAGAGCCAGCUGGAACCUGUACAGAAGCUCCAUCCAAUGACACUUCAUAAGAGUGGGUAUGUGUGGUACAUCGGCUACUUCUCGGCCCUUACGGUGUGUGUGUUGGUGCUGACUGUGUCAUGCGUGUUAGUGCACCGCUUCAGAGACAAGCAGAGAGAACAACACACACACUCCUGGGUGGCUGCCGUCGAACAGGGCGCCGUUACCCAGCAUCCUCUACUGCACUGGAUAGAUGUCAACCGUCACUUGUCUCUGUCUGUCAUUGUCAAGGGAGAUGCCAGAGGGAAACAGGAGGAAGAAAGAGAAGAGGGGGAAGAGGGAAAGAAAGAGGAAGGUAGCAAUAGAGACAAAGGAGAGGGAAGAAUGGACAGAGAGAGGGAAGAGGACGGUGGUGUUGAGGUGAUUGGUAGAACAAAGCAAAACAACGGAGGAGAAGAAAGUGAUGGAGAGAGAAGAGAGGGAUGUUAGGGAAGAGGAAGAAGAGAAACAGGAGGAGGUGACUAAGUCAUCA
rnacentral:lncRNA from 1 species